rnacentral:rRNA from 1 species
CCUACGGGAGGCAGCAGUGAGGAAUAUUGGACAAUGGGCGCAGGCCUGAUCCAGCCAUGCCGCGUGCAGGAUGACGGUCCUAUGGAUUGUAAACUGCUUUUGCACAGGAAGAAACAACGCUACGUGUAGCGUCUUGACGGUACUGUGAGAAUAAGGAUCGGCUAACUCCGUGCCAGCAGCCGCGGUAAUACGGAGGAUCCAAGCGUUAUCCGGAAUCAUUGGGUUUAAAGGGUCCGUAGGCGGUUUAGUAAGUCAGUGGUGAAAGCCCAUCGCUCAACGGUGGAACGGCCAUUGAUACUGCUAGACUUGAAUUAUUAGGAAGUAACUAGAAUAUGUAGUGUAGCGGUGAAAUGCUUAGAGAUUACAUGGAAUACCAAUUGCGAAGGCAGGUUACUACUAAUGGAUUGACGCUGAUGGACGAAAGCGUGGGUAGCGAACAGGAUUAGAUACCCUGGUAGUCCACGCCGUAAACGAUGGAUACUAGCUGUUGGGAGCGAUCUCAGUGGCUAAGCGAAAGUGAUAAGUAUCCCACCUGGGGAGUACGUUCGCAAGAAUGAAACUCAAAGGAAUUGACGG